CUACGGGGGGCUCCAGUGAGGAAUAUUGCACAAUGGGGGAAACCCUGAUGUAGCAACGCCGCGUGGAGGAUGACGCAUUUCGGUGUGUAAACUCCUUUUAUCAGAGAAGAAAAUGACGGUAUCUGAUGAAUAAGCUCCGGCUAACUCCGUGCCAGCAGCCGCGGUAAUACGGAGGGAGCAAGCGUUAUUCGGAAUCACUGGGCGUAAAGGACGCGUAGGCGGGUUUUUAAGUCAGGUGUGAAAUCCUAUGGCUCAACCAUAGAACUGCACUUGAAACUGGGGACCUAGAGUAUGGAAGGGGCAGGUGGAAUUAGUGGUGUAGGGGUAAAAUCCGUAGAUAUCACUAGGAAUACCGAAAGCGGAGGCGACCUGCUGGGACAUUACUGACGCUGAGGCGUGAAAGCGUGGGGAGCAAACAGGAUUAGAUACCCGGGUAGUC
rnacentral:rRNA from 1 species